AUGCAAUUUACGACCAACAUACCGACAACAAAUAAUCUGCAUGCCAAAACAUCAACAUCAAUGGGUACACCAGGUUCAAAUGGAUCACUCGAUUUAAAUCGGUCGGUUAAGAGUGAGCAAGAGACGAGCUUGAACCUGAACAAAACAUACCCACGUCAAUCAUUGUGCGAUAUAGAGCCACCCUCCUUUGAUCUCGGCAUUGACCUAACACCAGUACAAGAAUCAAAGAAAGUUUACACAGACACCAUGUUUGCGAAGUUCAGCGACCAGGUAUACAUGAGUGCGUCUUACUUUGUCCAAGAAAUCAGAGAUGAUGGCACAUACAUAACAGUUCACAUGGAAUGUGAUACGAGGGAAAACUGGAGUAAGUUGGAGUUUCCAGUUCAUGUAAAGAAAGAUGAAGAGGAGUACAGAUGUAUUUGUAGGUUAUUUGAACACAUGGGCAUAUUAUGCUCACACAUAAUCAGGGUUAUGAUGCAUAUUGGGUGCCGGAAUCUUCCAGACAAAUACAUCAAGAAAAGAUGGACGAGCAAUGCCCGAGAAGGAAAUAAAAGCAGAUUCAACAUGCAUGCUGCUGCUUCGAGGACUCACCGGCAUACCCUGUUAUUCGAAGCUUGCAUGGACCUAUCGUCCAAAGGUGAUGCAUCAGUUGAUGUGUACCAUGUUGCAAUGAGGAAAAUUACUGAAGCUUUACAGGAGAUUCGUUUGAUGCCAACCCAAGAAGAUGCUACGGCUAUACUUCAAGUCCACACAACAUCUACACAUUUAUCUGCGGAAUCAGAUGAUGAGUGUGCCAAUGAAAUGGAAGACGAGGACAUCUUGGAAGCUCAACUUCAUGACGAUGUGCUUCCACCAAACCGACGCAAGAAGCGAGGACGUCCAAGGACAGCAAGGCUCAAAUCUGCUGCCGAAGGUGGUGUACGUACAAAACGGAAAUGUUCAUUCUGCCAAGAGAAAGGACACUACAGAACUGGUUGUCCUCAAAACCCAGAGAAUUUGACAAAGUCAAAGAUUAAUAAAGUCUGCAAGAAGUGCCAGCUUCCUGGCCACAACACCUCUACAUGUGGC
rnacentral:rRNA from 1 species